AGUAUACUACUUUAGCUAGAAAGUUCCUCCAAAAAUAAAAGUGUCCAUUUAUCAUCCUCUUCGGAGAGGUAACGUGAGGCUCAUAGUUCCCAAAGAAAGAAGUGUUUUGUACAAGUGAGUAGCUCAUGUUGAUUUCAAAUUGCUAAGCGAUUGUUAGUGUUCAUCUAAUAAUUUUGGAAAAUUUUCAAGAACUCAAGUUGGGGUUAAUCUCAAAUAGUUGAUUGUGUUGGAAUGAUUGCUCAUCGGUCGGGGGUAGAAGUUAUUGGUUGGUUGCGCAAAGACUGCACCUAGGGAUGUUGAGUUGUUUGAAACUCUUGAUACCAACGUUAUCUAGUGAGACAUCCAAGGAUCAGAUAUAUCGUUGAGCAGACGUCUAUACUAAGCACUUAUCCGUAUUCAGUAAAGCAGCCGAUGAGCUCCUCUCUUACUUGGAGCUAGUAAAUGUCUAGUACUAUUUCAUCAUGUUUUCGAUUAUAGUUUGGGUAUGUUGGGGCCCUACCCCGACCAUCUUUCCUGGUAUAGUUACUAUUUCUCUAGAGGCUUAGUAAAUGGUGUUAAGUUGUCAUGUGUGGUCAUUGUUUCACUUGUCUAUAUCUGUUCUAUUUAAUGAGCCAGAAUUGUGCAAUCACAUAGACCCUCAUAAUUGUUAAUGUUUAGGGGUAAUAACUCUUUCGCUUAGAAUAUCUGUCAGUUGUGUAGCACAUAUUUAUACGGUUCUUGUCCGCUCUGUCUAGGCUUUGGGGCAUGACAUAUAAAUUACAAUAAUUAACAACUUAAAGUAUUUAA